rnacentral:tRNA from 1 species
GGUGGGUUCGCAUAGUGGCCAAUUGCACGAGUUUCGAAAACUCGAGGGAGAAAUCCCUACACAGGUUCAAAUCCUGUACCCACCGCCG